rnacentral:rRNA from 1 species
GAAUAUUGCGCAAUGGGGGAAACCCUGACGCAGCGACGCCGCGUGAAGGAAGAAGGCCUUCGGGUUGUAAACUUCUCUGAUCGGGGACGAAGAUGACGGUACCCGAGGAACAAGACCCGGCAAACUAUGUGCCAGCAGCCGCGGUAAUACAUAGGGGGCGAGCGUUGUCCGGAAUGACUGGGCGUAAAGGGAGUGUAGGCGGUUAUGCAAGUUACAUGUGAAUGCCCAGGGCUUAACUCUGGAACUUCAUGUAAAACGGCAUAACUAGAGUGUGAGAGAGGAAAGUGGAAUUCCUAGUGUAGCGGUGGAAUGCGUAGAUAUUAGGAGGAACACCAGUGGCGAAGGCGGCUUUCUGGACCACAACUGACGCUGAGGCUCGAAAGCGUGGGGAGCAAACA